UACGUAGGGCGCAAGCGUUGUCCGGAAUUAUUGGGCGUAAAGAGCUCGUAGGCGGUUUGUCGCGUCUGUCGUGAAAGCUUGGGGCUUAACCCCAAGUCUGCGGUGGAUACGGGCAGACUAGAGGCAGGUAGGGGAGAACGGAAUUCCCGGUGUAGCGGUGAAAUGCGCAGAUAUCAGGAGGAACACCAAUGGCGAAGGCAGCUCGCUGGGACGGUACUGACGCUGAGGCGCGAAAGCGUGGGGAGCAAACAGG
rnacentral:rRNA from 1 species